rnacentral:lncRNA from 1 species
CCUUUCUUGGCUGAUCCCUUUCGCUUUAUGGCGUGCUCGUUUGGGUUGGGCGUCGGCUAAGAGUGCUCGAAGCGUGGAUUAACUCCAGUCUCCAAUCAGGUGUGUAUUUAUCACUACUCUUGUUGUUGGAUGGCUACUUCGGGCCGCGAUGGGCCGAAAGGGGCCAUGUGGGCCCAAUGGGCCUACGGGCCCAAUUGGAUAAGUUGUUUGAUUGUGUAGUAAAUGUUGGACUAGGCUAGGUGAAUCGCAUAUCUGUGGCUAGGUUUGGGCUAAAAGGGCCACACGAGCGUGUGGGCCCAUUUUGGCCGAGAAUAGGCUUUAGGCCCAUUUGUAUUGUUAUCCAUGUUUAGAAUACUUUAGUUUACCAAUUACUGAAAUGCCCUUGACUUGUAAAAUUACCAAAGUACUCCCGAUUUACAGAAUUACCAUUUUACCCUCGAUUUACAGAAUUACCGUUUUACCCUCGAUUUUUAAAAUUACCAUUUUAUCCUCGAUUUACAGAAUUACCGUUUUACCCUCAGUUUACAGAAUUACCGUUUUACCCUCGAUUUACAGAAUUACUAUUUUACCCUCAAUUUACAGAAUUACUAUUUUACCCUCGAUUUAUAGAAUUACCGUUUUACCCUCGAUUUGUAAAAUUACCGUUUUACCCUCGAUUUACAAAAUUACCGUUUUACCCUCAAUUUACAGAAUUACUGUUUUACCCUCGAUUUACAGAAUUACCGUUUUACCCUCAAUUUACAGAAUUACUGUUUUACCCUCGACUUACAGAAUUACCGUUUUACCCUCGAUUUGUAAAAUUACCGUUUUACCCUUAAUUUACAAAAUUACUGGUUUACCCUCAGUUUACAAAAUUAUCGUUUUACCCUCGAUUUACAGAAUUGCCGUUUUACCCUUGAUUGUGAAAUUACUGAAAUACCCCUGUAGGGUAGAAUUUCCGAAAUACCCCUAUAGGGUAAAAUUACUGAAAUACCCUUAUAGGAUAGAAUUACCAAAAUACCUCUGUAGGGUAGAAUUAUUGAAAUACCCUUGUAGGGUAGAAAUACCGAAAUACCCCUGUAGGGUAGAAUUAUCGAGAUACCUUUGGGGGGUAAAAUUACCAUUUUGCCCCUAGGGUGUUAAAUGACUGUUUUGCCCUUGUGGGCAAGUGACUGACUUGGACUGUGUGGUUGACGGAUUUGAUUGUGAAUAUAUGUUGGUGAUAUGAAUGACUUGACUGUGAUUGUUUGAUUCAAAUAUGGGCAUGACAUUCUGCAUACAUGACAUGUUGCAUGGGUUGGGAUUUUGUACGGAGGAAGCGUUCUGGUGGCUAUGCCACAAAUAUCUGUUCUGGUGGCUCUGCCACAAUAUCUGUAUCUGGUGACUCUGUCACAAUAUCUGUUGACCGAUCGAUGGCUGAGUGCCGAUCACGUUACCGAAGGCUGUGUGCCGUUGUUGUGGGCUUCGUGCCGAUUAUAGACCCGUUAUUAAUGGCUCUGUACCAACCUAAAUAUGGCUUUGUGCCAUCUUGAGUAUGGAUUCGUGCCAAACGUAUUUACCUGUAGCUAUGUGCCUAACAUAUUUGCUGACGACUCUAUGUCGAUCAUAUUUACCGAAGGCUGUGCGCCAGUUAUAUUACCGUCACUAAUGGCUAUGUGCCGAAGUUAUUACAAUUAUCUAUGGCUUUGUGCCACGUAUUCUGUUAGGUGGCUUUGCCACAUUAUCUGAUUCUGGUGGCUCUGCCACAAUAUCUGUAUCUGGUGACUCUGUCACGAUAUCUGUUCUAGCAGCCAUGCUGCAAAUUUUAUGGUGUGUAGCGGAUGGGUGGGUCGAGUUGUCUCCCCACAUGGUGUAAGGUUGGUACGAGGGUGUAUACGGCUGGAUUGGGUUGGGAUUACAUUCACAUUAUGAUUCUGAUUCUGUCACCUAAUUCUGAUUCUGAUUCUGAUUCUGUUACUAAUACUGAUUCUGAUUCUGAUUCUGUUACUGAUUUUGAUUCUGAUUCUGUCACCUAAUUCUGAUUCUGAUUCUGUUACUAAUAUUGAUUUUGAUUUUGAUUCUGUUACUGAUUCUGAUUCUGAUUCUCAUUUUGGUUCCAAUUCUGAUAAUGUUUCUUAUUCUGUAAUGGGCUAAGGUCCAUCUGGUACUGUCUGUUGUAAUGGGCUAAGACUCGAUUGGUACUGAAAUUGUAAGUAAGGCUGGGGCCAGACUUUUAAUUCUUUUAGAUGACUGACUGUUCCUUUUUAUAGUAGGGGAUUUCACACUGAGUUUUCGUAAACUCACCCCGUUUAUUAACCUUUCAGGUAAUUCCAGCCUUAGAUGGAUCGGGGUUGCUAGGGGCUCGGAGGAAGCCACACACACCAUUUAUGCUACAGUUUUGAUUAUUACCUUUAAAUUAUUUUAUGUGGGUUGUAGUAAAGCCGUUGUAAUUUUCUGGAUUUCAAAUUUGGAAUUUUAUUUAUUGUUCUUAUAAUUGCUAGUAUUAGAACACGAUUUUCCAAAACAACUACUGUUAUUCAAAACAUCACGUAACCGCAAUUGUUUUUAAAGUAAGUUUCCGCAACUACCAAGAUUUUUACAAAGUUGUUAAGAAUGUUAUUCAGCUGAGGUUUUCUAACAAGGUAUAAAAAAGGUAUAAGUUUUUAAUUAUUAAGAAGGGUUUUUAAUGGAAACAUGGUUUUCGAAAAACACUUCAAUGUGACACGCCAAGUUCGAGCCAAACUUCCAGGCCAGGUUUGGGGUGUUACAGGUAUGACUUUGUUACUAAAUACUGCAUGACAGCGAUUGAUACUGUGAUGGGCUAAGGCCCUACUGCAUAUUUGAUACUGUACUGAGAUGAGCUACGGCCUAAACUGUUACUGAUACUGAAAAAUACUUAGGCCCAGGAUUGUUUUAACUGUGCACUGUGAUUUGCUAUUGUUUGUUUUUCUGUCAGAUUAUACACUGAGUUUAUGUAAACUCACCCUUUUGUUUAAAUGUGCACAGGUAAUCCCCAGAUCUAGAUGGAUCGAUGCGGCGGAGGACUCGACGGUGACCACAGUUUUUUGACUUUACGUUCUUUUAAUUUAUGUUUUAUGGUUUUAUUAUUAUUGGGAUGUAAUUUGAGAACUCUUGGGACUUUUGCUUAAAUUUGGUUUUUGUUUUAUUUUUUGAAAUUAUAACUUCUAGUCGUAGGAAGUUUGGUUUUCAAAAAGC